GUUUAUCCAUAUUUACUUCGUAUAUACUUUGUAAUAGAAUAAGUGAUGGAUUUUGUUAUUUGAUUCUGCAUGGCAACAUUGACUGUCAGGUUGUAUAUUUUAUUUGGAGGGGAGAUGUUUUCCCUUUGAGUUGGAAAUAUACUUCGAAUGAUCUUUUAGGUUCUAGUAGACUGCCUUUAUCACCCUUUUCUAGUUUACCGAAC
rnacentral:lncRNA from 1 species